rnacentral:rRNA from 1 species
AUGCAGUCGAGCGGCAGCGCGGGGCAACCUGGCGGCGAGCGGCGAACGGGUGAGUAAUGCAUCGGAACAUGUCCAUUCGUGGGGGAUAGCCCGGCGAAAGCCGGAUUAAUACCGCAUACGCCUUGAGGGGGAAAGCGGGGGACCUGCAAGGGCCUCGCGCGAAUGGGUUGGCCGAUGUCCGAUUAGCUAGUUGGUGGGGUAAAGGCUUACCAAGGCGAUGAUCGGUAGCUGGUCUGAGAGGAUGAUCAGCCACACUGGGACUGAGACACGGCCCAGACUCCUACGGGAGGCAGCAGUGGGGAAUUUUGGACAAUGGGGGAAACCCUGAUCCAGCCAUUCCGCGUGAGUGAAGAAGGCCUUCGGGUUGUAAAGCUCUUUUGUCCGGAGCGAAACGGUUAGCGUGAAUAUCGCUGACUACUGACGGUACCGGAAGAAUAAGCACCGGCUAACUACGUGCCAGCAGCCGCGGUAAUACGUAGGGUGCGAGCGUUAAUCGGAAUUACUGGGCGUAAAGCGUGCGCAGGCGGUUUUGUAAGCCAGAUGUGAAAUCCCCGGGCUUAACCUGGGAAUGGCAUUUGGGACUGCAAGGCUUGAGUGCGGCAGAGGAGACUGGAAUUCCUGGUGUAGCAGUGAAAUGCGUAGAUAUCAGGAGGAACACCGAUGGCGAAGGCAGGUCUCUGGGCUGACACUGACGCUCAUGCACGAAAGCGUGGGGAGCAAACAGGAUUAGAUACCCUGGUAGUCCACGCCCUAAACGAUGUCGACUGGUUGUUGGGGGGUUUGACACUCUCAGUAACGAAGCUAACGCGUGAAGUCGACCGCCUGGGGAGUACGGCCGCAAGGUUAAAACUCAAAGGAAUUGACGGGGACCCGCACAAGCGGUGGAUUUAUGGUGGAUUAAUUCGAUGCAACGCGAAAAACCUUACCUACCCUUGACAUGUCCUGGAAGGCUGGAGAAAUCCGGCUGUGCCCGAAAGGGAACGGGAACACAGGUGCUGCAUGGCUGUCGUCAGCUCGUGUCGUGAGAUGGUUGGUUAAGUCCCGCAACGAGCGC